rnacentral:lncRNA from 1 species
UUCCUUGGGAUACAGACCCAGUAAUGGCACUGCUGGGUCAAAGGUAUGUGAGUUUUAGCCCUUUUGGUAUACUUCAAAUGGCUCUCUGAAUGGCUGAAUCGAAUUCUAAAAAAUAAGUGGAACAACAAAUCAGAAACAUUCCAUGAUUUCAUCCAAAAGAAUGACAGUAAUGAAACAAUAUACUAAAACCUAUGAAAUACAUAGCCAAAACAGUGAAUUCUUAGGUCAAAUUUUAUAUUUCUAAAUAGCUAUAUCAAUAAAAUAAAAAUUUGAGAUCAAUGACUUGGGUAUGCAACUAAACAAGCUAGGAAAAGAACAAAAACACAACAAAUUAAAACUCCCGAUUGAAUAUUGGCUUAGAAAUUCUGAAAUUCCAAGGCAAGAUUAAUAAAAUGGAAACUUAGGAAAUUAUUGAAUUAAUAAAACUUAAGAGAUAAUUUUAUGAAUAAAACCAAAAAAAAUAUAGCUUCUGUUAAUUUGAUCAGAAAAAGUAAAGCAAAAACCCAAAUUACCAGCAUCACAAAUCAAAGGGGGGAACAUACCACUAUGAUAAAGUAAAGCAAUAAUAAUGAACUAUUUUGCCUAUCCAAAGGGAGCACAUCUGAAGAUCUGUCCCAAAUGGAUCAAUACUGAGAAAAAUACAAAUUGCUAACAUUAACAGAAGGUGAAGUAAAUUACUUAACCAGUCUCAUUUUAGAAAAAGAAAUUCAACAAACUGUUUAUUAAGAAAAAAUCUUCAGGGCCACAUGGAUUCAUAAGUGAAUUCUACUAAACAUUUAAAGAACAAUAAAUUCCAAUAUUGUGCAAAUUAUUUGGAAAAGGGGGUCAAGAAGGAAUACUGUCUAAUUCCUUCUAUGAUACUAAUUACCUAUAAAGCAGGAGGAACCACAAGAGAGACUAAAGUACAGACCAAUCUCCCUAAUGUAUAUUGAUGCAAAAAUCUUACAUAAAAUAUUAGCCAAGAGAUUACAUCAAAUUUUUCCCAGGAUAAUGCACCAUGAGCAAGUGGGAUUUACACCAGGAAUACAUGGCUGGUUCAAUAUUAAAAAAAACUAUUGGUAUAAUUGACUCUAUCAAUAAUGAAGCCAAUAGAAAUCAUGACAGUCACACAGUUGCAGAAAAAACUUUUGACAAAAUUCAGCAGCCAUUUCUCUGAAAAACGCCGGCCAGCAUAGGCUUCAAGGGAGCUUUCCUUCAAAUAAUAAGCCAUAUCUGUCCAAAACGGCAAACAUUAUUUUGUAAUGGAGAGAAUCGUCUGGGUCAUUCCUAGUAAGAUCAGAGGUGAAACAAGGAUGCCCAUUACUGUUGAGGUCAGGAACCGAAUGUUGAGGUGUAGACCACAUGUUGAGGUCUACAUUUGGGGUACCUAAAUGAAAUUAGAGUUUAGUUAAAGGUCUAGUGGCAGGUUUGGGGUACAGGGAGUCAAACAGAGUUCCCCUGCAACCCCCUUAGAUUCGGCGCAAGGAUACGGCGGUAUAUGAGGUCUAGAAGCGGCGUGGAUUCCCAAUAAAAGCAUUUAUUAGCCCAGAGAGCUAGAUUAAUAAAAGAGGUUUAUUAUUGAGUCUAGAAGUAGGAGAUAGGUGAAGGUAGAGAUAAAGAGGGCACUGGGGACAGAGGGUCCAGUGGACAGAGGGUCCUCACAUGGCGACCAUGUUUGGAAUCUCUGCAAAGAGGGGUUCCCAGUGUGGUCCUUUUAAGUCGGAGACUUAGCUCGAGGGGCUUUGGGGUGUAGCCCCAAAGUUGGCUCAGAUCCGGGUGGAGCUGGGACCCCGGUCCGGACCUUCUAUUGGAAUUCAAAGGGACCAGGAUUUGUGAGUCAAAGGGUAAUUUACAUUAGCUAGGGGGGUUGGGAAUCAAAGAUUGGAAUCUUUCCCGCAUCAUUACCACAGCAAUUAUUCAAGAAGGUACAAGAAAUGUUGGCUUGAGCAAGAAGAAAAGAAAAAGAAAUGAAAGGAAUUACUAUAGGCAAUGAGGAAAUCAAACUAUCUUUCUUUGCAGAUGAGAUGAUGAUAUACUUAGAGAAUUCUAGAAAGCCAUCCAAAAAACUACUGGAAUCAACAGGUUGAACAAACUUGUAGGAUAUAAAAUAAACCCACACAAAUCAUCAGCAUUUCUCUAUGUUACUGACAAAACCCAUCAGCAAGUGAUAGAAAGAGAAAUUGCUUGUAAAAUAAUGUAGACCAAAUAAAAUAGUCGGGGGUUUAACUACCAAGACAAGCCCAAGAGCUAUGAGAACACAAUUACAAAAACCUUCUCACAGGGAUAAAAUUAGAUCUAAGCAAUGGGGAAAAUAUCGAUUGCACAUGGGUAGGCUGAGUUAGUUAAGAUUAGAAAACGCCAAUUCUGCCUCACUCAUUCAAUGACUUCAGUGCCAUAAAAAUGAAUCGGGAAAAAUGUAUUUUAUAGAAGUACAAAAAAUAACAAAACUCACAUGGAAGAACAAAAGGCCAAGAUAUCAAGGGAAUUAAUAAGAAAAAAAUAUAAAGGAUAGUGGCUUACAUUCUUCAAUUGAUAAAUGGUCAAAGGAUAUGAACAGACAAUUUUCAGAUGAAGAAAUGGAAACAAUUUCUACUCAUAUGAAAAGGUGCUAUAAAUGACUAGUACUACACACCCCUCAGAUUAGCUAAGAUAACAAGAAAAGAUAAUGAUGAAUGUUGGAGGGAAUGUGAGAAAACUGGGAAACUAAUACAUUGCUAGUGGAAUUUUGAACUGAUCCAACCAUUCUGGAGAGCAAUUUGGAAGUAUAGGCAAAAAGUUAUCAAACUGUGCAUAUCCUUUGACCUAGAAGUGUUACUACUGGGCCUGUAUCCCAAAGAGAUAUUAAAGGAGGGAAAGGGACCUGUAUGUGCAAAAAUGUUUGUGGCAACCCUCUUUGUAGUGGCCAGAAACUGGAAACUGAGUGAAUGUCCAUCAGUUGGAGAAUGGCUGAAUAAGUUAUGGUAUAUGAAUGUUAUGAAACAUUAUUAUUCUAUAAGAAAUGAUCAGUACAAUGAUUUCAGGAAGGCCUGGAGAGACUUACAUGAACUGAUGAUGAAAUGAGCAGAACCAGGAGAUCAUUGUACACGGCAACAGCAAGAUUAUACAAUGAUCAAUUCUGAUGGUCCUGGCUCUUUCCAAGAAUGAGAUGAUUCAGGACAGUUCCUAUGAUCCUGUGAUAAAGAGAGCCUUCUAUACCCAGAGAGAGAGCACUGGGAACUGAGAGUAUAUCACAACAUAGCAUUUUCACUCCUUUUGUUGUUUGUUUGCAUUUUGUUUUCUUUCUUAUUUUUUUCCUUUUGGAUCUGAUUUUUCAUAUGCAGCAUAACUGUAUAAAUAUGUAUACAUACACUGAAUUUAACAUAUUUUAGCAUGAUUAACAUACAUUGGAUUACUUGCCAUCUAGGGGUGGGAGUGGGGGCAAUGGAAGCAAAAUCUGGAACACAACGUUUUGUAAAGGUUAAUGUUUAAAAAUUAUCUAUUUCUAUGUUUUGAAAAUAAAAAGCUUAAGUAAAAAAGAAGGAAAAUAAAAAAGGAUGGGGGCUUAGCAUUCCCAAACCUAAAAGUAUAAUAUAAGCAGCAGUUCUCAAAACCAUUUGCUCUUAGCUAACAGAGUGGUGGAUCAGAGGAAUAGAUUCCAGUGAUCAAGGCCUAUAGUUAUGUAGUAUUUGACAAAGCCCCAAACUCCAGCUUCUGGUAUAAAAACUCGCUAUUUGAUAAUAAAUCUCAGGGAAAAGUGGAAAAUCACUCAGAAACUCGGCUUCGACCCAUGGGGUGUGCAUCUCACACCCCAUGCCAAAAUCUGGUCACAAUGGAAAAGAUCUCCACUGAAACCAGAAGUGGUUUGAGAGCCCUGCCCUGGGGCCUCUGAGAAAAGUCUCGGGGGAGGGGUGGUCCUCAGCACCAUCAGGCUUUCCUUGGGUACAUAUAUUGUCCAGGCUGACAAACCGGCCUAAGGAUUGCUGCCAGCUUGUGUCCAGGGAGGACGCAGGUUGGACACAGGGAGUGGAGGCUGUUCUUUCCCGAGGGAGCAGCUUGUUGCACGUCAAAGAGAACUGGAUGCUGGCUUGCCUGUGGGAGUGGAACUUGGCCAGAGGGAGUUGAAAGCCCCCAGAGGGGGGAAAGAUGAUGUGCCCUCUCCUCAUUUAGCAUGGGGCUGUCCCUGGGAACUCUGAAAAGGUGUCUAAGAGUCAGGGAGCUUGGAGAGCAGGGCUGUCAUGCCUAAGGCUUUCCCCACAGCUGGGUCUGGGGAAAUUGUGGUCCUAUGGCUACUUUGUGCACCUUCUUCAAAAUGUCUGGAGCAGCUGAAUAAUCACACACAUGUUGAGGACAGGAAUCCUAUCAAGAAAAGGGGGGUUCAGGAAAUCUGCAGCUCAAUGGGGAGAAGAAAUAGAAUACUUCCCAACGGGAAGAAGAUGGACAUUCAGUGAAAGAGGCGAAUUCCAUUUAUUACUAAUGAAAAGACCAGAGCUAAACAAAAAAUUUGACCUCCAAAUACAGAACUCAAGAGAAGCAUAAAAAGACUAGACCCGCUGCUUGGCAGAAGGCUCUGCCAACAGGCCCUGGGGGACCUCAGCCCGAGUCGACUUCACCACAUGGCGCCCUGGUGUGGAAAAGAAAACUAAACUCAAGUACCUGACUAAAUAUCUAUCCUCCACAGAAUUGGCCCCACUACAAGCAGAAGCUUCCACCAAUGGGCCAAGGUGCUCCUCUUCCUCAUUCGACCUCAUUUCUUUAUCAUAUAUUGGGUGAAAAAAAAAAAAAAGAAAGAAAACCAAACACACUGACUCACCUCAACCCCCCCAGGAUGAAUGUGUGCCCUUCAGAGACUUGGCCCCAACACUUGGCAGAAACCCUUGCCAACAGGCCAAAAGGUCCUCUUCCCCAAUAGAACAGAAGGCAUUGUGCCAUCUGGAAAAAAGAUCCCCCCCAAGCACACUAACUCCCCUCAACAUCCAGGCUAAAUGUGGGUCCUCCAUAGACAGGACUUCUGCAGGGCUCCUGCCUGGCAGAAAGCUCCACCAAGGGGCCAGGGCUCUCCUUCCCCAGUCGAUCUCAGCACAUUUUCCCUGAAAACUUGGGAGAACGGAUGCCUCCCAUAAACCUCCAGCAUUCACCAUGGUGCCAGCAGCUGGGCCAGACUGGGUAGUCCCAACCCCUGGAAGAGGCCGGUCUCUGGGCUGACCAAUGACCUCCCCUGCCUGCCAUGAGAGGUCAAACAGGAAGCCACCCCACUCCUGUCAGCUCCCUCUUCCCUCAGGCUGUAGCACUUGCCUGCCCCAGGCUUUAGGGACUCCCGCCAAAGGCCCCAGGAAGAAGAGGCUCAGCCACCCUUACAAAGGAAAAUUGCAAACACCAGUCCAUCUUGUUCACCAGAUAGAUGAUGUGGAAAUUGAGAAUCAAGAAUUGCCAAUUGAACAUGAAGUUUCAGCCAACAUUGUUCCCCAGGUCUCUGGGUCACUGGAUGCCCAGUGUUUGCUCAGUAUCUUAAACAUUUAAAAAUUGAAUAAAAUUUAAUUUUUUUAAUGUUUAGUAAA